rnacentral:rRNA from 1 species
AGGUUAACCGUAUAGGGGAGCCGUAGGGAAACCGAGUCUUAACUGGGCGAAUGAGUUGCAGGGUAUAGACCCGAAACCCGGUGAUCUAUCCAUGGGCAGGUUGAAGGUUGGGUAACACUAACUGGAGGACCGAACCGACUAAUGUUGAAAAAUUAGCGGAUGACUUGUGGAUGGGGGUGAAAGGCCAAUCAAACCGGGAGAUAGCUGGUUCUCCCCGAAAGCUAUUUAGGUAGCGCCUCGUGAAUUCAUCUUCGGGGGUAGAGCACUGUUUCGACUAGGGGGUCAUCCCGACUUACCAACUCGAUGCAAACUGCGAAUACCGAAGAAUGUUAUCACGGGAGACACACGGCGGGUGCUAACGUCCGUCGUGAAGAGGGAAACAACCCAGACCGCCAGCUAAGGUCCCAAAGUCAUGGUUAAGUGGGAAACGAAGUGGGAAGGCUCAGACAGCCAGGAUGUUGGCUUAGAAGCAGCCAUCAUUUAAAGAAAGCGUAAUAGCUCACUGGUCGAGUCGGCCCGCGCGGAAGAUGUAACGGGGCUAAACCAUGCACCGAAGCUGCGGCAGCGACACAAAGUGUUGUUGGGUAGGGGAGCGUUCUGUAAGCCUGCGAAGGUGUACUGUGAGGUAUGCUGGAGGUAUCAGAAGUGCGAAUGCUGACAUAAGUAACGAUAAUGCGGGUGAAAAACCCGCACGCCGGAAGACCAAGGGUUCCUGUCCAACGUUAAUCGGGGCAGGGUGAGUCGACCCCUAAGGCGAGGCUGAAAAGCGUAGUCGAUGGGAAACGGGUUAAUAUUCCCGUACUGGUGGUAACUGCGAUGGGGGAACGGAGAAGGCUAGGUUGUCCGGGCGACGGUCGUCCCGGUUCAAGCAGGUAGGCAGAGUGAUUAGGCAAAUCCGGUCACUUAAUGCUGAGAUGUGAUGACGA